GAUCCAAUCCAUAGGAAACCACGACUGUGAACACGAGUGUGUAAACACAGACCCCUCGUUCAUGUGCCACUGCAGGAAAGGUUUCACACUCACUCCAGAUGGUAAAACAUGGCUCCAAACAUUUGGCCAUUACCAAUUUUUGACCUAGUGAAGCAGUUUGUCAGCAGAACAGUGAGCGGUCUGCCAGCCGGAUCUUGGGUCGGGUGCUCCAGUACUUCACUAAAGUCCACUGCGAGUUCACUUUGGGCCAGUACAUCAGCAUUAGCGAGCCGUCUGCUUUAUGGGCACUACCUGAUUCAGGAACAGCAGCCGAACAGUUCAGAGGAUCGCCGUUGUACUUACAGAUGGACACUCACAAGACAACGUGCACAAAUGGGCCAACAAAGUCAAAGCUGAUGGCAUUAUUCUAUAUGCAGUGGGUGUGGGAGAGAAUGCAGAGGAACAGCUGGAGUUUAUAGAGUCAGCUGCAGCAGAAACGUGUACUACACAGAAGACUUCAGAAAAAUGGAGCAGAUCGCAGACAAAUUGAAGACUUGGAUUCACAGCUGUGAAGUCUCUCGUAAUGGGAUUGUAGCAGAAGACAGCGAGACCGUCUCCGAUAAGAUGCUGAAUGAGAUGGGUGCCGGACCGGAAGAGACGGUGGAGGAUGUCCAGCCUGUGGCCUCAGAAGCAGAGCAGCCAAUGGUCAGCGCCAAUGAUGCUCCUCUGGAGGAGAGAGAUCCAGCAGACGCUCCUGAAACAUCGAGUCCUGAAGCUCCUGCUGAAGAGCAGCGAGAUGUUCAUGCUGCAUCAGAACCCAGUGACACUACGUCUGCAGAACCCUCUCUAGCUGUGGAACCAGCAUCAGAUCUCAGCAGCACUCCAGAACCCAAUCCAACUGAGCUAACAGCAGCUCCAGAAGCCCUGUCAGACGCGAGCUCGGAGCCCACACUAGAGCAACCAACUCCAGCUCCAGAACCCAUUCCAGUGGAAGUUAGCCCUGUUCCAGAGCUCACUGUGUCUGAGCCUGUCGCGAGUGCAGAAUCAGCUUCUGCUGAGGAUCCGACUGUGUCUCCAGAACCCACUGCAGUGGAACCAAGCCCAGCUCUAGAGUCAACUCCAGCUCCAGAACCCACGGCCGAGGAACCGAGUCCAGCUCCAGAACCCACGACUGAGGAACCGAGUCCAGCUCCAGAACCCACGUCCGAGGAACCGAGACCAGCUCCAGAACCCACGACUGAGGAACCGAGUCCAGAACCCACGGCCGAGGAACCGAGUCCAGCUCAAGCGACUGAGGCAGCGGUGGUCUCACAGGCUGCAGAGGAGAAUGCGACCUGCGCAGACGCUUCAGAGGGUAAUGCAUGGGAACAUGGGCAGAUCAGCUCCAGACACUGACUGGGGUCAGAAAUCCAGAAAUGAACUCUAAUUAAUGACACAGUUCACAUCUGCAGAAACAAUCUCUACUUUUAAAUGAUGUUUCUGAUAAUUUUGGAACAAAGCAUCAGAUGACAGGAUGCUUGAGAAGUAAAAUAAAGCCCUGGUCACUACACA
ensembl:lncRNA